rnacentral:rRNA from 1 species
UACGUAGGGUGCGAGCGUUGUCCGGAAUUAUUGGGCGUAAAGAGCUCGUAGGCGGUUUGUCGCGUCGACUGUGAAAACCCGAGGCUUAACCUCGGGCCUGCAGUCGAUACGGGCAGACUAGAGUUCGGUAGGGGGAGACUGGAAUUCCUGGUGUAGCGGUGAAAUGCGCAGAUAUCAGGAGGAACACCAACGGCGAAGGCAGCACUCUGGGCCGGUACUGACGCUGAGGAGCGAAAGCGUGGGGAGCAAACAGG